GAUGAAGAACGUAGCGAAAUGCGAUAAGUAAUGCGAAUUGCAGAAUUCCGUGAGUCAUCGAAUCUUUGAACGCACAUUGCGCCCUCUGGUAUUCCGGAGGGCAUGCCUGUCUGAGCGUCAUUGUCAACCCUCAAGCUCGGCUUGCUGUUGGGUCCCCGUCGUUGCCUUACGGCGGACCCGAAAGAUAAUGGCAGAGUCCGUAAGACCCUGGAUGCAGCGAGCUUCUAGCACGCGUCUGGACGGUUUACGGGCUUGGUCUUAACCAGAUGAUAACCUCUGAUUGACCUCAGAUCAGGUAGGGAUACCCGCUGAACUUAAGCAUAUCAAUAAGCGGAGGA
rnacentral:misc_RNA from 1 species